ensembl:lncRNA
UCAAAACGCAAUCUUUUUAAUGCUGUGUGUGUAAAGUAAACAGAUGCAGGUGUUAAAUUAACAUCUAAAUAACCUGCUAAAUGAACUAACAUGCUAAUUAACAUGCGAAAUGAACGGCUGUAAGCAGUACUGCGUACAUCAAAUUAACGCCCCACAGCUGCUAAAUAUACCUAUACACACGUUCUUUAAUAUGUCAUUUUGAUUCAACAACAUCACAAUUGAAGAUGGCGAGAAGGAACUUCCAUAUCCUCUGCAAACAGACCCUAAAUGGCCGAUAAUCCUGGACUUAAUGCCCUUCGGUCCACGUUAACAAGUCUCUUCAAUCUGUCACAUGACCCGUUAUAUCCUGACAUGUCAGACUUGGCUCUGGAUGAAAAGAUUAAGGACUUGGUGGCUGGGAACGACAAACGUGGACCGGCGGCUGUUCGAUCACCAUUAAGGGCUCUGGGUGCAGAGAUGCAGAGUGAGGGACAGCAUGCUUCGUGUUAACCCGAGGGUGACUGCCCUCAGCCAUGUCACAGAGGCUGCAUAGAAGGUCAUACCGUGUUGCUGGACCAAACUCGUAAUGGCACCUUGAUGGAAACCACAAACUGAUAAGGGAUGCUGAUGGAAAAGGGGCAGCUGAUGAGGGUGGUCCCUCGAGAUUUUCCCCGGCUGCUAAUGAGUGCCAUCCAUUCCUCUGCAAUAUUUGAGGGGCCUGAUUGGGGAAAAUGCCUUUCUUGCAACUCUCAAGCACUCUAUGAUGGCGUAUACAAGCAGGUGGGCCACAUGACUGCUGUCUGUCUGGUACAUGGGGGUGUAGAGCCACAUUUUGUCAGAGAGGCUCUACAGUGUGGCCUACAACCUCCUGUGCCAGAACUGAAAGAAAUUGUGGAAUAUGAUUUCAGAGAGAAGUUGGAGAAGGUAAGUGACUUUAUACUGUGAUGGAUGUUAUGCUACAGUUAAUUUGCACUAAGUUUGAAAAACAUUAGGAUUGUAGUUCAUGAGAUCUUUUCCACAUGGAUCUGGUUUCCUUUUGCUGGCAGUCAAUCUUUAAGGGUAGUGAUAAUCAGUUUGUUUUGCUAAUUUUCCCCCAAACACAGUUCAAUAAACAAUCUAAGAUCCAGUUAGCACAAGCUGUUGAUGAGUCACAGGAAGUGGUUAUGUUGGGUCCAGUGUGAUACAUUCGUACAUUGGAGAGGCCCUGGUGGAGUCAGCCACUAAGUUCUACUUAGAAAGCAGGAUACGGGAUGCUCUUGAGCAGUGAGUUUCCAUAUAUCUAAGGAAUCUCAAGUUUAGUUCAAUUUUUCAGGGCAAAUUCAUUGACUUUUUUUACUUUAUAGAUUCAAAGAGGGUCUGGAGUGUCUAGGUCUCCUGCCUUACAUGAAUAGACACUCAAGCCUCUUCAGAGAGGUUUUUCAUCUAUGCUGAGAAACCUCUUUUGGCCAGACAUAGCUUCUCUCUUCAAAGCAGAGCUCUCCCCACCUGGUACCAAUCAAAGAGCAAUAGAGAGAAGAGUCACAUGUUUCUGGAGGGACUGACGUCUGGAGGUGGAAGGUUAGAUGCAAAACCAUGAUCAUCGAAGUAACAUGGCCCACAUCAGUAAAACAUCACCACUUAAGAGGAUUGUGUUCUCCAACAAGUGUUACUUAUGGACUUGAAUGUCCCCCCCGCUUUCCUUUUUUCAGUGGGGAACACAUUCUCUUCAACCACGUAGAAGGUUUUCACUUCGGGGGCUUCAGCAUUCUGAGGCUGGGCUUGCCAGUGGAGUCACAGCUCUCUCUGCUACCUCACAGCAAGCAGUACCGGAGCACCAAGUCUAGGUCCAAGAGGCUUCUAAACAGAUUCUACCCCCAAGCCAUAAGACUCCUGAACAUCUAAUCAAAUGGCUACCCAGACUAUUUGCUGCUACUCUAUCUAUGCAUGUCACUUUAAUAUCUCUACCUACAUGUAUAUAUUAACUCGACUAACCAGUGCCCCCCUGCACAUUCUCUCUACCGGUAUCCCCUGUAUAU